GUCUACGGCCAUACCACCCUGAACGCGCCCGAUCUCGUCUGAUCUCGGAAGCUAAGCAGGGUCGGGCCUGGUUAGUACUUGGAUGGGAGACCAGAAUAACAAUUAGAGCUAUAAAUG
ensembl:rRNA 5S_rRNA 5S ribosomal RNA